UGGGGAAUAUUGGACAAUGGGCGCAAGCCUGAUCCAGCCAUGCCGCGUGUGUGAAGAAGGCUCUAGGGUUGUAAAGCACUUUCAGUAGGGAGGAAAAGCUGUUAAUUAAUACUUAACAGCCCUGACGUUACCUACAGAAGAAGCACCGGCAAACUCCGUGCCAGCAGCCGCGGUAAUACGGAGGGUGCGAGCGUUAAUCGGAAUUACUGGGCGUAAAGCGCGCGUAGGCGGUUUGAUAAGCUGGAUGUGAAAGCCCCGGGCUCAACCUGGGAACUGCAUCCAGAACUGUCAGGCUAGAGUAUGGUAGAGGGUAGUGGAAUUUCCUGUGUAGCGGUGAAAUGCGUAGAUAUAGGAAGGAACACCAGUGGCGAAGGCGGCUACCUGGACCAAUACUGACGCUGAGGUGCGAAAGCGUGGGGAGCAAACAGGAUUAGAUACCCCCGUAGUCC
rnacentral:rRNA from 1 species